UGCCAGCCGCCGCGGUAAUACGGAGGGUCCAAGCGUUAUCCGGAUUUAUUGGGUUUAAAGGGUCCGUAGGCGGGAGAAUAAGUCAGUGGUGAAAGCCUGCAGCUUAACUGUAGAACUGCCAUUGAUACUGUUGUUCUUGAGUACAGUUGAGGUAGGCGGAAUGUGUCAUGUAGCGGUGAAAUGCUUAGAUAUGACACAGAACACCGAUUGCGAAGGCAGCUUACUAUACUGUUACUGACGCUGAGGCACGAAAGCGUGGGGAGCGAACAGGAUUAGAUA
rnacentral:rRNA from 1 species